rnacentral:lncRNA from 1 species
CUUUUUUAGGGUGCACCCACAGCAUAUGGAAGUUCCCAGGCUAGGGGUUGAAUCAGAGCUACAGCUGCUGGUCUAUGCCACAGUCACAGCAAUGUCAGAUCUGAGCCUUGUCUGUGACCCACACCACAGCUCAUGGCAACACCAGAUCCUUAACCCACUGAGUGAGGCCAGGGAUUGAACCUGCAUCGUCAUGGAUCCUAGUCGGGUUCAUUAACUGCUAGGCACAAAGGGAACUCCUCAAAUUCUCCCAUAUAUAUAUAUAUAUAUUCUUUUUUACCCCCCCACCCCCCAAGCCCAAGGGGCAUAUUCCAUAUUCUGUGUUCUUCUCUGGGACUCUGGAGUUAGAAUGAUGCCAAAUGGGCCAUGCCCCUGCUAGGAGUUACCUCAUGCUAAAAUCAUAGAGGAAAAACAUUUAUCUGCAGCGCCAUAGCUCCUAUAUCUUUGCUCAUUACCCUUGUUUCAGUGCUCUCUCCAUCUACUCCAAGAAUUCAUCUCCUUCAUGGUACACAUGAGUCCCUCACAAGAAAAAACAAUCACAAUCAAUUUAUGCCACGGAAUCCACGUUAAUUCAUUAUCCCUUCAAGAGCUUUUUAUAGCUUAAAGAAAAAAAACAAUGCUUCAUCCAAGGCAAAGUUCUUCUAACAGAUAAGCUUCAGGCUCUGAGGGCAGCUGAAGCAAACAUCCAAGUCUUUUCCCUGGAUAAUUUAUAGGGCUAUACCCACUAAACUCAUUUCCCUACAGAGGCUUGAUGGUUGGGAAGUUCUGAUGUUCCUCCACAAAGACAACCAUGACCCUGCCUUUUCUCUAGUGCAUCAUCAUUUUAUUUAUUUAUUUUUUUAGGGCCACACCCAUGGCACAUGGAAGCUCCCAGACUAGGGGUUGAAUCAGAGCUGUAGCUGCCAGCCUAUGCCACAGCCACAGCUAGGCCAGAUUUGAGCCUCUGCAUUUGUGACCUACACCACAGCUCAUGGCAAUGCUGAAUCCUCUAACCCAGUAAGCAAGGGCAGAGAUCAAACCCACAUCCUCAUGGAUACUAGUUGGGUUCAUUAAUGCUGAGCCACAAUGGGAACUCCCCACAUCAUCAUUUUAAAGGGAUAGAAACCCAGCUGAAGCCACAUCAAGGAAAAAUGCAAUUUAUGAGCAGCUCAAAAGCCCAGGAGGGAGUCUAGCUUCCAUCCUGGCUAGAUCCAUGUGUGAAGGAGACUUGAGUGUCUGUUCUUUCUCCCUCUCUGUCUCUGUUUCCCUUUCAGGGGAAUUUCUUCUACUGCACUCUUCCUCCCUCCGGGAAAAGAUGGCUUCAGGAGCACAUUUCACCUCCUUACAGUUCCUCUAGGAAGAGUGAGGACUCUUUGUCUCUCACGACCCACAUCCACUCCAGCAAGGAUCUCUGAUUGGCUGAGUUAUAUGGUCCAUGUUUUUUUGUUUUUUGUCUUUUUAGGGCUGCAUCAGCAGCAUAAGGAGGUUCCCAGCCUAGGGGUCCAAUCAGAGCUAUAGCCUCCGGCCUACACCAUAGCCAUAGCAACGCCAGAUCCAAGCUGUGUCUGUGAUCUAUACCACAGCUCGCGGCAAAACCAGAUCCCUUAACCCACUGAGCGAGGCCAGGGAUUGAACCCUAGUCCUCAUGUAUACUAGUCAGGUUUGUUAACCUCUGAGCCAUGAUGGGAAUUCCUGCAAGAAUAUAUAAGCUCUUGUGACCAGAGAGACUGACCUGUUUUGGAGCAACCGUGGUU